GACGUAGCUCAGUGGAAGAGCAUCUGCCAUGCAUGCAGAAAGCCCCAGGUUAAAUCGCCAGGUAAGCCUGGGAAGGACA